rnacentral:rRNA from 1 species
GUGGGGAAUAUUGGGCAAUGGGCGAAAGCCUGACCCAGCAACGCCGCGUGAAGGAAGAAGGUUUUCGGAUCGUAAACUUCUAUCCUUGGUGAAGAUAAUGACGGUAGCCAAGAAGGAAGCCCCGGCUAACUACGUGCCAGCAGCCGCGGUAAUACGUAGGGGGCAAGCGUUGUCCGGAAUGAUUGGGCGUAAAGGGCGCGUAGGCGGCCUGGUAAGUCUGGAGUGAAAGUCCUGCUUUUAAGGUGGGAAUUGUUUUGGAUACUGUCGGGCUUGAGUGCAGGAGAGGUAAGUGGAAUUCCCGGUGUAGCGGUGAAAUGCGUAGAGAUCGGGAGGAACACCAGUGGCGAAGGCGACUUACUGGACUGUAACUGACGCUGAGGCGCGAAAGUGUGGGGAGCAAACAGGAUUAGAUACCCUAGUAGUCC